UACGUAGGGUGCAAGCGUUGUCCGGAAUUAUUGGGCGUAAAGAGCUCGUAGGCGGUGUGUCGCGUCGGCCGUGAAAACCUGGGGCUCAACUCUGGGCGUGCGGUCGAUACGGGCAUCACUGGAGUUCGGCAGGGGAGACUGGAAUUCCUGGUGUAGCGGUGAAAUGCGCAGAUAUCAGGAGGAACACCGGUGGCGAAGGCGGAUCUCUGGGCCUUACCUGACGCUCAGGUGCGAAAGCUAGGGGAGCGAACAGG
rnacentral:rRNA from 1 species